GUUGUUUAGUUUCGUAAGGCCUACACACCCAAAAAGUUUCAUUGAAUUAUGGAGAGGGAAAGUUUCUAUGCACAUAUUGUAUAUCUCAAAUUAAUAAACGAGCGAGAUUACCUCAACUUAUGCAAGAAAGUGAAGACCAAUGCCGCAUGUUUAGUGCAACAUACCACGGUCAACUCAUCAUGCAGUUAUUACACGACUGCUUCACUUUUUCCUCGGGCAUCUCCAGCGGUAGCGGCGUUCGACCAAGUGAGUAAUUUCUUUAUAAAGUGCCAGCUAAUUUGCGAACUGUGUAACAUUCAAUAUGCAAUAACUUUCCGAGUUUCGAUUGUUUACGGUUGGACCACCCUUGCAUGUUGCAGUUUGAUUUAGAUUGGAAUGCGAUUGAAAUUUCGUUGUACUCUUGUCAUUAUCAUUACUAGUGAGCAAAAAUAAAGAGAAGAAAAUCGAGCCCCUGAAACUAACUGAAUCUAACCGUUGUUUCGGGAGCGGAACUCAUUAAA